GGUUUCAUAGUGUAGUGGUCAUCACAUCUGCUUUACACACAAAAGGUCUUGGGUUCAAUCCCCAGUGAAACCG